UCUGCACGACAUACUAUGCUAUCCAGUUUAGGUUGGAAAAUAUUUUUAAAACUUAGAAGUAAAACAAAUGAUGAUUCCACUUUAAACUAUAAUGCCUGGUCCACAUUUAAUAUGCAUAAGACUAAACACUAUGUUUGAUUUGUUGUAUUUGUGAAGCCAUGAACCCCUUUAGUGGACAAAUGGAUAAUUCCUGUUAAACAAGCCACACAUAAUGGAAGAUAUAAACACAAUUGUUCAUGCUUGGUAACUUGACAGUGAGCAUGAGGUGUACGAAUCCACUCCAUAUAAGGCAAUAUGAUAUCCGUGUUUCAUAGGCAACGAACCUGGGGUGGCAGGGUGGGCAGGCAAACCCCCAAUUUUUCUCUUCAUUAAUCAGUAAAUAUUACAAGCAAUAAGUUAGAUUUGUUUCACAGGAUUGUGUCUAACUAUCCCUGCCUCCCCUGUUAGCCUUGUAUAUACAUAGGUUUGGCACCUAUGGUGUUCUUACUUUAAACUAAGUCAUGCGAAGAUAAAUAAGUGAAAUAUUAUUAACACCCAUUGUAUUCCCAGCCAAACAAUCGAACGUCGAGGAUUGUUGGAAACUUUGCAAACAUGCUCGCUGUCGGUCGGUCGUCUUCAUUCAUAAAUUUGCUGCCGAGGGAAAGAUUUGCCCGAAACCUGCAAAACAGCGGGGCAGGGAAGCUUCAUAUCUGCUCAACCCUCAAUACAAGUUUGUCUUUAUCAGGAUAUUAAUAUGAAAGCAUGGUAGUCUAAAAUGUACAGGACAUUGGUACACAACAUAUUUGAACAAUGAGAGGAUCAUGGAGGGAAGAUAUAGAAUUGAUGGAAGAAUCGCCUUUGUUAGGUCCUUAUCUUCGUGGAUUUGCUGGCAUUCUGCAAAUGCGUUGUAUAGUCGCCUGUGCACCCGUGUUGUUGUAUUCUUGCAUUAAUUGUUUGGCUUCAUCCAGUAGUUUCAAUGCUUCCGUGGGUUUUCCAUUCUUUGUCAGUG